rfam:Triticum aestivum genome assembly, contig: Triticum_aestivum_CS42_TGACv1_scaffold_578153_7BL
AAGCUACUCCCUCCGUCUGGAAAUACUUGUCUUAGAAAUGGAUAAAAUGGAUGUAUCUAUAACUAAAAUAAGUCUACAUACAACCAUUUCGAGGACAAGUAUUCCCAGACGGAGGGAGUAUUAA